CGCCAACCAGCUAGCCCACCCUAACAAAAACAACAACCCAACAUUAAUAACCCCAAAUACACCCCUCCCCACCCUAAACAAAACAUUUUUCCUCCUUAGUACGGGCGACGGAAAAG
rnacentral:rRNA from 1 species